GAACGAAAGUGACAAAAUUUCAGUGAAUUAUGAAGGACAUGUACUGCCUAAUAAGAUAAGUCAUGUAUUGGUUACAAUUAUAUAUCUAAAUAGUCUAUGUUGUAAUGUUGUCAUCUAACGGAACUCUUGUAUUUGUUCUUGAGGACUUAAAAAAAAAUGGAAGAUAGGAGAGCAAUCAACUUUACUGACCUACCCCUUCAUGGUUAUGAUGUGUUUAAUUUUUUUUAAUAUAUUUCUAUUACAACAAAACACUAUUAGUUUAAAUAAGAGAGAAAAUGACUAGACUAAUACAAAAAAGUGAAGUAAUGACUAGACUAAUACAAAUCUUUUGAAAAUAACUAGAUUUUUUUUAGAACCCUAGUAAAUUACUGUUUAAGCCCUUUAUUAUUAUUUUUUAGUUGUGAUUAAUUUUAAUUUGAAAAUCCACAUCAGAAGUAAUGAUACCAUGUCACUUAACACGAAGGAAAAUCAAACGACGAUCAUUAACUUCUCCGAGACUGUUCUCCCACUAAACCCUAACUGUUUUCGAAAUCGUGUUCACUACAACUCUUCUCGGCAAAGCGGCUUCUCUGAAAUAAUCUCCGUAAUCUUCUUCUCUAGUCUCCGUUUCUCUGAAAUCGUGUGUCCGUAAGCUUCUUCUUCAGAUUGGUUGUCUCCUCAAAUCUCCGUAAUCGUAUUCUCUGGUAUAUUUCGAGGCUUUGCCCUGAGUUUUUCGAGUAUUUGAGUGAGUAUAAUUAAUGCUGUGAGUUAGAUAUAUGUUUUGUCUGAGUUUGAGUUAGUAUUCGUUACGGCUGAUUUAGGAUCCUUAACGACUGAUUUAUAGAAGGUAAUUGUGACUGAUUUAGUAUUCUUUGAGACUGAUUUAUUUAUGUAAUGAUGGCUGAGUUAUGUUUUGUGGCUUGUUUAUUUUAUGUCUUUCUUCUGAUUUAUCAUUGAUAUGUUAUAUAUGUCUUUUUUGAUCAGAUGGAUGUUUCCGAAGAUCUAGCAAGGGAUUACCCUCCAAGACUGUACCCUGAAGGGGCUUCUAUUUUUGAAAACAAAAGCAUUAAUACGAAUAGCCAUUUUUCUGAGAUCCCUCGAUUUAGACAAGCAAUUGGAAUAGAUGUGUGGGAUAAUCUGAAGACGUAUCCUGUUGGAUUGAUUGCUAAACUGGCUGAGAGCAAAUUGGUGUGGUCUGGUAAGACCGUACAUUAUCUACUUUGUAGACAGCUGCGAGUCUAUAAGAAGGAGAUUUGGUCUCUCGUUGUUGAUCAACCUCUCAGGUUUAGCUUAAUAGAAUUUGGUGAGAUCACGGGUUUAAACACAAAUUCACUGGCAGAAGAAAGUUUUGAACCUGAUCCAGAGAAUUACAAAGCGUUGUGGGAGUUGUUGAAAGUGCCGCUUGGGUACGGACCCAAGUUUGAUGAACUUAUAGAAGCUUUAACGGAGUGUCCAUUCUGGAGUGCUGAUCAGCGGAAAUGGUAUGGGCUGUUGUUUCUUCAAGCCAUUGGAAUUUAUGGCUUGCAUCAUAAUUGUAGAAUACCCUUUGAAAGUGCAAAAAUAGUAUUCGAUGAUGACGCCCUGAUGACUUACCCUUGGGGUCGGACUGCCUAUGAAUUUCUUGUUGAUUCUAUCAAGUUGUUGCAUCCACAAGGAGGGUCGUACACCCUUAGCGGCUUCAAGGACGUGUUAUUGGUUUGGGCGUAUGAAUCUGUCACAGUGUUCGGAGAGCUUUAUGGCAGAAAAGUGAAUCCAGACGAAAUUCCGCUUUUGCGAUGGGGUGGAAGUCGUACUCAUGCAAGUCUUGCUACUACAAUAGCUAAGGAGAUGAAUGAUCAUGGAACGGUAAGGUUUAAAUCAGACAUAUGAAUCCUGUAAUGUAAUGUCUGAGUUAUUGGAUUAUUUUAUGGUUGAGUUGUUAAUUUUAAUGACUGAUUUAUGUUUUUGUGUUGUAUGUGCGUGUGAGGAAAAUGGUGAUGAAGGAGGGUCUAGAAGAGCUGUUUCCUCAGUGGAAGGAUGAAGCAGAUGACCCACAACUUGAUAACCUAAUUAAAGAUAUACAUGCAGAUAGGUUUGUUAGAGAUUUUUAUGUGCAAUCGAAUGAGAAGAACAAAAAAACGAAGGCUGGAGUUUCGUCAGAGGCUGAGCCACCCUCAAAGAAGCAGAAGAAAGGUAAGAAACAGAAGGAGGUGAAAAUCAAUGAGGGUGAAACUGCUGUUGUAGAGGAGAAGGAGAGUGCAAAGGAGAAGGGUCGUAGCGAAGCGGUUCUGCUGAACAUAGUUGCUCAUCUCGAGAAGUUGGACCGAAAAUUUGACUCGAGAUUAACAUAAUACGACACCAAGUUUGGAGAUUUUUCCCAAGGCCUUUUGGAUACCAUUGGAGAUACAGUGAAAACUACAGUUGAAGAGCGUCUGAGAGUUUUGGGGGUGUCCAAUAGUAGUCAACCUGAAGGUCAACACGUGAUGGUCUCAGAAGACAACUAACAGCCGGAGUCCAAUAGUGGUCAACCUGAUGGUCAAAACAUGAUGGUCUCAGAAGACAACCGACAGCCGGACUCCAAUAGUGGUCAACCUGCAUCUAAGACCCCUAUUGAUAAACAGUCCGAAGACAGCCAACCGCAAAAGACCCCUGAUAAAGGCCAAUCUGAGAAGAAUCUGGCAGAUGAUAUUGCUAAAGCUGAUGCGAAAGGUAUGGGAGCAAAGCUGAAUUCGAAGGUUGUCAGGGAUAAGGCUGCUGGGGUGAAAAAGAACUUGGAUUUGGCGUUUGGUAAUGCCGAUGCAACAAAUGCUGAUUUGGUCUUUGAUUCUCCUGGUAAGGAACCACCAUUCGGACGCGGUUGCAGGGGCUUAGGGAAAAGAAAUAACUUAGCGGCUGAUUUGGAGAGGAAUGAAGCUGAGUUAAAGAAGAAGCAGAAGCAAGAAGAAGCUUAGUUGAAGAGGAAGAAGAAGCAAGAAGAGGCUGAGUUAAAGAAGAAGCAGAAGAAAGAAGAGGCUGAGUUAAAGAAGAAAAAUAAGCAAGAAGAGGCUGAUUUAAAGAAGAAGAAGAAGCAAGAAUAGGCUGACUCAAAGAAGGAUAUUCCUGCUUCAAAAAGGACUCGCAGUGGUACAAUAAGAAUACCCAUUCCGACUAAGAAAAUUAAGAACACCAAGUAUUCAGACAAACUGUGGCCGGAAUCUGAUGUGGAGGAAGAUGAAAGGAAAAGGUGUGGAAGAAUAAAGGAGUAUCGGCUGAAAGCUGUUCAAUUAUCUCCAUAUGGGUCUCAAAUGAGUGCGGAAUUUGGUCCUUCUGUACUAUUUCCCCACAUCGGAGACAAUGUAACGACGUGCAUGAGAAAAGGUUUUGAACCUUCACCUGCAAUAUAUGAUCCCCUAGGACCUGUUGAUCCGGUUAAAAUGGAUAAUCUUUUGCAACACCUAAAGCCACACGAGUAAGGACUUUUGCACAAUUUCGUUGAUUUUAGCUAAUAAAAAUAUUUUGCAGAGACUGAGUUGUGUUAAAUUAUCAGGAAAAUUCCACAUGGAGAAGCUCACGAGGAUAUUGAGUUCUACAGAAUCCUCAUCACUCCAAGACCUUGGCCCAUCAAAGAUUAUGGAUGGCUGGUUCAAAAUGUAAGUAUGCAGCUGAGUUAUAUUUACUUUACGGCUAAGUUAUAAGUAUGGUACAGGUGAGUUAUAUAUUAUCUGUGCAGCAUAAUGCUUCGUAUAUUAGAGUCCUCAUUCAAAGGUCCAAACAAGAUCCCAGCCCAUUCUGGUCCAAGCGCGUUGCCUUUAUAGACUCUUGGUUUCUUGAAUCAUGGGUUCACGAUUAUAAGCAGUUCGAAGUCAAACCGGAAAUGGUCAAAUUCAAAGGAAGUGGUUACGAGGGGUUAGCAAACAGUUUGAUCCCCACAGACAUUCAGACAAAGUUGCGGUGGUUUACAGAUGUAGAUCACUUGUACGGAGUGCUUAAUACUGGCGGCAAUCAUUGGGUGGGUUUUCACGCGGAUCUGCAUAAAGAGAAGGUUGAUUGCUAUGAUUCAAUCAUUGGAGAGCAAACACUGGAAAGUGAUCUGAGAAUGCUAAAUUUCUUUGGGCCGCUUACUCGUAUGCUCCCUGCGAUUCUGAAUGCCCUUAUUCCUGAUGAGAUCCGAGUCCCUACCAAGAAAGAGUUUGUAUUCAGACGAAGAACAAAACGUAUUGUUCCACAAAACAACCUGAGAGGCGACUGUGGAGUGUAUUCAUUUGAAGUUCGUCGAGUGUCUAGCACUUGGUGUAGCUUUUGAUGGGAUAUCGGAUGAAAAUAUUCAAGGUCUGAGAAUGAAGAUGGCAGCAGAUGUCUUCAAUGAAGGAAGUUGUUGUAGUUUGGUAGGGUCGUUUGGCGAUGAAUGAAGAUGAGUUUUGUAUGACUUAUGGCUAGAUAUUUUGUACUUGACUUAAAGUUAUGAUUUGUUUAUCGUAACUCAGCCACCUUGUUUAAAUUACGCAGCCGUUACGUUAGAUAUAGCUCAGCCAAACCUCAAACCAUACCCUAAAAUAGGGAAAUAUUUAAUAAGUCAGCCGAUUCGUCUUCAUAAAACAGCCGUUUAAGUAGAUAUAGCUCAGCCAAACCUCAAACCAUACCCUAAGAUAGGAAAAUAUUUAAUAAGUCAGCCGAUUCGUCUUCAUAAAGCAGCCAUUAAGGUAGAUAAAAGUCAGCCAUACCUCAAACCAUACCCUGAAUUAAAAUAAUUGAUAUGUUUAUACUUAAAAAUGUUAUAACAUUCCCUAAUAAGUGAAUAUAUAAUCAACCGAAAGUCUCUUAUUUAUUGAAUUAACGAGUUUAGAAUCGAUCAUGAUCUUGAGGUAUAUGUUGUCUUGCAGUUACUUAAAACCUUACAUGUAGAUAUAGAGUGUGAUCAUAAUACAAAUCUCCUAAACUAUAUACAACGCAUUUUAAGACUAAAUUUAUGUUAUUUGUUAUAUUUAUCACACCAUUAUUCCAAAUCCUAAACAUAAAUCCCUAAAUAAACAAACCUAAACUCUAAAUACUAAACCCUAAACCCUAAAUCCCAAAUAUUAAAUCAGCCGUAAUAGGCUAUAUAACUCGGCCGCCACGUUUGUUAAAUGUUGUCGUUUGGCGGGAAAUAAGAUAAUGAAUUUUGAGAAAUUUCAAUUCCCGCCGUUUCACGUUCUAUGUUUCUCUAUAUAUAGUGCCCUCUCUAAUACCCUUUCUUACGCCUUUAUCUCUCUAGAAAAAACCUAAACAAUAUCUCUCUAUCCCCAUCAAAAGCCAUGCCGAUUGUUCCUGGAAAUUCAGAGAGGUUAGAGAACAGUGUUUUUGCGAUACUAAGCUCUGCAAAUCGUGAAAACCUCCCUGUUUUAUACCCUGGUCCGUGUGACUUGCUUGACACAACCAGCCCUACAUGGUUUAAUUUUUUAGCUGAUCUCUCCCUGGUCAUCCCGACGAUUCUUGCAGAAGGAUGGGUUCAUGCAUAGCCGACAUACUGCGACAUUCCCGAUCAUUUUAAAGAACGCUGGUUUCUUAAACUCGCUGUAAGGCCCGACAUUUGUUCAUAUAUAUUAAUAUAUACCAUCGGUCUGUAAUCUUUGUAUUUUUUGUUUGCCGUAGCGGACAAACACAUGGGAUCGAAGGCAUCAUUUGACAGUUUGGCGUAAUUUUAAUCUUGUGGCCAGAAGUCUAUUUCGUUGUCAGAUGCGCCAUUUGAGGUGGACUUGGUUGGAAGGAGGCGAGAAGCCAACUUGGAUGCUAACCAGCGUUUGGCUUGAUCUAUGCCACAUGUUUGAAGAGUCUGGUCCAGAUAAUUUUGGUUCCUGAAAGUCUUUUCGUGUCUGUAUUUUGAACUUCAUUAUUUCAGCCAUAACUUGUUUCAAUGAUUCAGCCGCAACUAGUUUGAAUGUAAUCUCUGCCACAUGUUUGAAGAGUCUGGUCCAAAUAAUUUUGGUUCCUGAAAGUCUUUUCGUGUCUGAAUUUUGAACUUCAUUAUUUCAGCCAUAACUUGUUUCAAUGAUUCAGCCGCAACUAGUUUAAAUGUAAUCUCGGCCACACAUUUUAUAUAAUUCAGUCAUAACUUGUUUCAAUAAUUCAGCCGUAAUUGUAUUUUGAAACGCAUUAUUUCUGUUUGUAAAUGUUAUCUCGGCCACAUAUCUAAUAUAAUUAAGGUAUAACUCAGCGAUCAUUUUAUUUAAAUAAGUCAGGCAUAUCGUAAUUAAAUAACUCAGUCAUCAUUAUAUUUAAAUAACCCAGCAUCGAUUUAAUUUUAAGAGGCAGUAUAUGGGAAGUUCCAUCAUUAUGCGCGUGGGAAAAUUUGGAUGCCAUGAUAAUAUCGAGACUCAUUAUUACGAGUUUUUAUAUAUAUGUUUCAUUUACAAUAUCGAAACACUGAUAUUAUAUUGUAUUUUAUAUAUUUAAUAGUAUUAUAUAUGUGAUGUCGUAUCUCUUCUUACAAAGUAAAACAAUUUUUAGUUUCCAAGGACUUUGAAAUCUAUUUUAACAAUGUCUUCCUCAUCCUUCACCUCAGGAAAUUAUUACAGACGACGUAGGAAUACGGAAAGAGGAACGCCGAAAGAGUGUUGGUGUGGUGCACCAUCUGACAUUUUUACAUCUGGAAGCGAAACAAAUCCAUGAAGAUUUUACUAUUGCUGUGCGAAAGGAUAUCAUAAGGUUAGUUCUGGUUCUUAUUUCCCAUGUUCGGAAACGUAAUACUUAGAUCUGGUUACAUUGGUGAAAACAGAGUCAUUUAUUCAAAUGGGCGGAUGAGUGCUUGGUGGAAGAGGUUGAAGAUAUUAAGGCAGUGAUAAAUGGCAUGAAUAGAGACAUCUUGGAGUUGCGAGUUAACGUUGCUCGGUUGGCGAAUGGAGUAAAGACAGAAUCUGAGAGAAAAGGAGGCGAAUGUUUGAGUGAAAGUCGGUGUUUGAGGAAAGUGGUUGUUUGUGUGGCUGGAAUGGCGAUACGUUGCUACUACUACUUCUCUGUUUAGUCAUGUUUUGUCAUCAUAAGUCAGCUUUCGCGUGUUAUGUAACUCAGCCUUUAUUAACUUUUAAGUUGUUUUAACUCAGUCGUAUGUAAACAAAACUAUGCGUUUAUUAAUAUAUAACUCAGCCGUUAAAUCAAAUUGAUAAAAGCGAGAAUGUUUUGUUACCUCUGGUAAAUGACAUAAAUAGCCUUUGGUUAGUUUUAUUUACUUUUAUGCUCAGAUUGACCUAACAAUUAGAAAAAAAAAACAUUGUCGGAAACGGAGAAGGAACCGCAAGGAUACGAAAUCGCCUUCGACAUUGUGUUUACUUCCUCUUCCUAAAAAGAACUGUGAGAUCUCCGUUAUCGUUAUCGUUCGUUUGUACGAAAUCGUCUUCGUCGCAUUCAUAUCUACAAGUUCGUCUUUUCGGUAGGAUGUCGCGACGUUAAAUAUUGAUUUGGGGUUUUGUUUCGAGUGAGUUAGGGUGUUGUUUCUAGUGAGUUAGGGCUAUGUUUCGAGUGAGUUAGGGUGUAGUUGUGAUUAGGUUAUUGUUGUGUUGUGUCUGAGUUAUUGUUAUGUUGUGGCAGAGUUAUUGUUAUGUUUUCUCUGAGUUAUUGUUAUGUUGUGUCUGAGUUAUUUUAAUGUUGUGGCAGAGUUAUUUUUAUAUUCAUUGAGUUAUUGUUAUAUGUCGUGACUGAGUUAUUGUUUGGUUAUUUGUUCAGAUGGAUGUUUCUGAUGUUAAAUCACGGGGUUACCCUGCAAGACUUUAUCCUGUAGGGUCUUCUAACCUAGAAAAUAAAGAUAUUAAUCACAAUUUCCGUUUACGAGAUUUACCUCAUAUUAUAGAAACACUAGGAGAAGAUGUAUGGAAAGCACUGGUGAACUCUCCCAUUGGAGUAGUUGCUAGGCUAGUUGAACGCCGAAGCGUGUGGUCCGGUAGAACAGUACACUAUCUACUAUGUAGACAGCUGCGAGUACAUAGGAAGGAGAUAUGGAGUCUGGUGGUUGAUGAGCCUAUCAGGUUUAGCUUGGUAGAAUUUGGUGAGAUAAAUGGUUAAAUACUGGUCCAUUUCCAACAGAAAGUUUUGAACCUGAUCCUGAUAAAUACAAACCGUUUUGGGCGAAGCUGAAGGUGUCGCUUGGGAGGAGACCCACGUUGGAUGAACUGAAAAACUCAAUAGAGGUCUGCCCGAGUUGGACAUUUGAAGAGCGGAAAUGGCUAGGGCUAUUAGUUCUUCAACACAUGGUACUUUAUUGUUUGCAUCAAAAUUCUCGGGUGCCAUUUGAAAGUGCCAAAAGAGUGUUUGACGAUGAAGCCAUGAAGUCGUAUCCAUGGGGUCGGACUGCAUACGAAGUUCUCAUUGACUCUAUUAAAACGUUGGCUCCAGACAGGGGGUCAUACACAUUAAGCGGCCUAAAGGAUGCGUUAUUGAUUUGGGCGUAUGAAUCCAUCGUCUGCUUUGGCGAGUGUUUUGGGAGAGUGGUGAAUAAUGAAGACGUUCCACUUUUACGAUGGGGUGGAAAGCGUACUCGUGCAAAUUUCGAAAACUUGUUGUCUGCCGAGAUAAAACAACAUAGCCAGGUAAGGUGUAACGCUGCGUUUUGAUUUCUUAAAUGGCUGAUUUAUUAGACUUAAUGGCUGAGUGUUGUGUUUAUUUGGUGACUGAGUUAUAUUAUGCCCUGGUGUUACAGGUGCGUGUUAGGAGAAUGGUUUCGAAGGAGUCAAUCGAAGAGUUGAUUCUAUUGGAAUACGAGAUAAAUACUUCCUUUCACCCCAAAAGAUUGCUCGAGUCAUUGCGUGUGUAUACACAUCACGCUCAUAACCUGCAUCUGCUGCACGCUUCAUGAGAGAAAGCCCUUCUUCUUUAAGGUCGAAGGUGUAGAAAAACUGUACACCCUUUAUAUAAAGCGUGCUUGGAUUUCCCUCAGCGUAGCAAGCUUUCAACAACUCAGAAGGCAUAUUAAGUCUCCAGGGAACGGAUAAGACAUCGAGGAAAUGGUAAACCCUACGCCUCUCUGCUAACGCCUUCAUCGACCUCGACGAUGCUUUGAGGCCAAAGAGAUCUUGGAUGGAGUUACGGGCCGCACGUUCAACCACUACCGCCUGAAUUUCUUUAGACAAUUCAAGAAGAGGGAAAAAUUCCAUCUACACUAACUCAGCCUAUAAUUGAUUUAGAGAGAUAGAGAAAAUGCGUAAUAAUUGACUGUUGAGAGUCCGAUUGUUCUCAGUACCUUAUUUAUAAUUCAGCCAACUCAAGCCGAAACAUGAUUUGCAACGGUUGGGAUUUCACGUGAAUUUUAAUAAAUCAAAAUUAAUAUUAGGCGUGAAAUAAAAUUAACUCAGCUGUAAAAAAAAUUAAUUCAGCCUUCAAAUAGAGUUUACCUAGCCUAAGAAACAAUUAACUCAGCCUUGGAAACAAUUAACUCAGCCUUUAAAUAGCAUUUAAUCAAAUAUCAGAAAAUAACAUUAUUAUGCGUGUGAGAAUUUUUCGCUGCCAUGAUAAUAUCGAGACUCAUUAUUAGUAUGUCUUUACAUAUAGGGAUACGGCAAGCACUCAUGUAUUAUAACUAACAAUAAUAAGAAUUAUCUAAAAUCUAAAAAAUAUAUUUUAAAAUAAAAAAGAUAAUUCUUAUAUAUUGUGUGGUUAUCCGUACUAAUAAAUCAAAAUUAAUAUUAGUCGCUUCAAUCAAUUAUACCAUGCUAAUAUCGAGACUCAUUAUUAGUAUAUCUUUACAUAUAGGGAUACGGCAAGCACUCAUGUAUUAUAACUAACAAUAAUAAGAAUUAUCUAAAAUCUAAAAAAAAUUUUAAAAUAAAAAAGAUAAUUCUUAUAUAUUGUGUGGUUAUCCGAACUAAUAAAUCAAAAUUAAUAUUAGUCGCUUCAAUCAAUUAUGCCGCCCUUUAUUAGGCGUGUGAAAAUAAGUCAAUGUUCAAACAAAUAUCAAGACCUUUUUCAUAUCGAGACAAUAAAAUUUUCGUUAAUGGAGUUUCUUGUUAGGUUGGUUUAAUUCAGUCCUAUGUAAACGAUAACCUGACCGUAACCGUAAGUCAGUCUUUUGAUAAGUCAGUAUGUUUUAAUAAAAUUAUUUAAUAACCGGAAAAUUAAAUUAACUCAGCCGUGAAAACAAAUAAUUCAGUCUUCAAAUAGCAUUUACCUAGCCUCAUAACGUGGAUAAAGGGCACGCUUGGCAAUUAAUAAAUCAAAAUUAAUAUUGGGCGUGAAAUAAAAUUAACUCAGCUGUAAAAAAGAAUUAAUUCAGCCUUCAAAUAGCAUUUACCUAGCCUUGGAAACAAUUAACUCAGCCUUUAAAUAGCAUUUAAUCAAAUAUCAGAAAAUAACAUUAUUAUGCGUGUGAGAAUUUUUGGCUGCCAUGAUAAUAUCGAGACUCAUUAUUAGUAUGUCUUUACAUAUAGAGAUACGGCAAGCACUCAUGUAUUAUAACUAACAAUAAUAAGAAUUAUCUAAAAUCAAAAAAAUAUUUUAAAAUAAAAAAGAUAAUUCUUAUAUAUUGUGUGGUUAUCCGUACUAAUAAAUCAAAAUUAAUAUUAGUCGCUUCAAUCAUUUAUGCCGCCCUUUCUUAGGCGUGUGAAAAUAAGUCAAGGUUCAAACAAAUAUCGAGACCUUUAUACUAUGGAGAUAAUAAAAUUUUCGUUAAUGGAGUUUCUUGUUAGGUUGGUUUAAUUCAGUCAUAUCUAAACGAUAACCUGACCGAAACCGUAAAUCAGUCUUUUGAUAAGUCAGUAUGUUUUAAUAAAAUCAUUUAAUAACCGGAAAAUUAAAUUAACUCAGCCGUGAAAACAAAUAAUUCAGUCUUCAAAUAGCAUUUACCUAGCCUCAUAACGUGGAUAAAGGGCACGCUUGGCAUUUAAAAAAUGACAAUAAAAAAUACCAGUAAUAAACAAUUAAUUAGAUUUUACUUAGCCUUAAGAACCAUUAACUCAGCCUUCAAAGAGCAUUUACCUAGCCUAAGAAACAAUUAACUCAGCCUUUGAAACAAUUAACUCAGCCCUUGGAAACAAUUAACUCGUAGUCGAAGAGAUGCUUUCCAAAGGACAUGAAUUAUCUCGUAGUCGAAGAGAUGCUUUCCAAACGACUCCAAUAGAUCAUUUUUUAUCUAUAAAUACAAAGCGCACAAUGCCACAAAUCCAAACCCUCAUUAAGUGAUCAAGUGGCAAUGGAAGGAUCAAAAAGAUCGAUGAACAGUCCUAUGGAGGAUGUCUAUGGCGCGGAUGCUGUUGAAGGUUAUAACAAAGGGAAAAUGGAAACGACGGAGCAUUACAGGGCGCUUCUCCGCUUGGCCAAGGAACAAAGGCAAUCUGAAUCUGAAUGGAACGACGCCUCCAGCAAAGUAAAUUCUAUUGCUGCGCGCAUGGAAUUGCUUGAUGCCAUUAUCUAGGCCGAAGGCAAAUUUAACCUCGUGGCUGAGUUGGAGACACUUACCGCUUAGCAUUGUGAAGCCGAAGCAGAGUUGGGAGCUGUGAAGGUCAUCGACCCUGCCAGGAAUCAUCAUUUUCAGUGUCAACCACUGCGAAGGCUAUUGGAAAAAUCUGAAAGUUACCAUCCUGAGCUAGUGCUGAGAGAAGCGUCCCUUUGUAUCUACCAUUAAGAAACGUACCGUCGAUAACCACAACUUUGCGCAUGAAAGGAAACCCAUUUAAGCUCGCACCAAAUGCAAGAAACACAUACAUGAAUUUUCCAUUCUCAUCGAUUUGAAGACGCGUAACUGUACUCGGAUUUUCCCUUAUUAUCAUGUAUAAGUAAGAAGGCAAGCGUUCAAACCCACUCUCAGGUGUUCCCUGAACGAUUUCCCUUGCAAAUUUCAGCGUCCGGUAAGAUUUCCAAUAUUCCAUCUGUUCACAUGAAAAACGAUACACAUAAAUCAGCCACAUCAUACAAUUAAGUCAGUCACAACGUAAAACUAAUUCAACACUAUUUAAUAUAACUCGGCCGCAUUGUGUAAAUAUAUCAGCCGCUACGAAACACAUAUUACUCAGCUGUUUCGUAAACAUAACUCAGUUACACCAAAGUAAUUACAUUUACACCAAACUGCUUAGUGAUAGCUAUUCCACCACUCGUAGGGCGAACGGCCGGACCAACGUCGCCGAGAAAGUUCUUGUACAACUCUCCUAAAAUAUCUGGUGUUGCAUUUCGACAUCGAUUAGAACGCUCAGUUGUAGAACAUGUAUGAUUCGAUUCGUAAAUACAAACAUAGAACACCGGGGAUUCCCCUUUGGUAGAAGCACGAACCCUCCAGAUACAUCCAUCAACCCAACACUUAACAAUGAAUAAUGUUCGGGUUGAUAUGUCUACAUCAUAAUCAAAUCGAUCCUUCACUGUAAGAAGUUUCAGUCGUCUCUCCAAAUCGGCUUUACUCUCGUAUCGUUGCCCUACCGCAAGAUUUAACGACGACAUCUCCAACCUUAGAAGAACCUCCUCACUCUCUUUAGACCCGCUCAUCGAGAAGUUCUGAUAUAUCUUCUUGGGAGGUAUCGUUGGUGACUCUUCGUCCUCUAAAGGAGACUCACCGUAUGAGCUGAAGUUAUCAUCUUCAGAUGACGCACCGUCCGAGUCGUCGAACAUAUCAAAUUGGCUAUCAAAUUCAUCGUCUUCUUCCUUUUCUUUGCCUGUUUCAUCUUCUCCGCUGUUGGGGUCAAAAACGGUUACGACGGAAUUACCACCCGAAAAUCCUCGGAGAUCGUAUUUCCGAAAGAGAUAGUAAAAGGAAAGAUGUAAUUUUCGUAAAAAAUAACUAAUACGAAGAAGUAUCCUUUGAGAUUCAAACCGAACAAACAAAGUUCGGUCACCACGCAUGCACGCCGUCCGGUCGCUAUACAGCAACCAAACCCGAGCCAAGGUCGGUCACUACGUAGCGACCGAGCGUCCGUCUCACUCGGUCGAUACGUAGCGACCGAACUCGAGCCCAAACUCGGUCGCUACGUACCGACCGAGCGCUUGUCCCGCUCGGUCGUUACGUAGCGACCGAGCUCGAGCCAAAGCUCGGUCGCUACGUAGCGACCGAGCGAUCAUCCCGCUCGGUCGCUACGUAGCGACCGAGCGAUCGUCCCGCUCGGUCGCUACGUAGCGACCGAACUCGACCAAGCUCGGUCGCUACGUAGCGACCGAGCGAUCGUCCCGCCGAUCUGUCGCUACGUAGCGACCGAGCUCGGCCAAGCUCGGUCGCUACGUAGCGACCGAUCGAUCGUCCCGCUCGGUCGCUACGUAGCGACCGAGCUUUGGCUUGAGCUUGGUCGCUAUGUAGGGACCGGGCUCGAGCCAAAGUUCGGUCGCUGUGUAGCGAUUGAACCUUUCCGAACAUCGAUACGACACCAAUCCUUACAUUCUCGUCAAACCUUCGAAUGCUAUCUCCCAAAGACCGAAGCAAGCUCAGUCCAUGUUUCCCGCUAUUCUAAUUCAUCGAUCAAACUUCGCGGAUUAGAAACCGCGGAAAAUUCGUAGUAAACGUGUCGAGUCGGAAGACGGCCCAAAGGGACCUAAAACACGACUCGAGGCCCAUCCUACGAUUUUCUAACCAAAAGCCCGUAAACCACAGCAUGAUUUACGCUUGGCCCACAAGGAAGGAUAAAUAUCAAGUUUCCGCGGAUAAAUACGGAAGUUUUGAAGAUAAUUGUGAAGAUCGGGAAAAAUGGAAUAUCUCAAUUUUUAUGCUAUGACGGCUUAAGGGCAGAAGAGUAAAAGCGUAAACCGACCUUGGAGCUUAGUAUAUAAGGAGUCCUAGGCGAGGAGCAGAAAAAGAACUUUUUCAGAGCAAACUUAGCACUUAGAGCAAUUUAGGCAAUUUUCCGUUUUUAUUAUUUCGAGCUGCGACUCAAUUAGGUUUAGCCGUCUUAGGGUGACUAGAACUAGGAAUCUCGCCGACAGCUCUCGAGCCCAGGCUUAUACCUUGUUGUAAACGCUCAUACGCAAAUUCAGAAUAAGAUCUUCUUUGCUCUCUUUUUCGAUUUCUUAUACUUUAUCGUUGUUAUUCUCGUGUUCUGAUUGCUUGACGUGUGGUAAUUAGCAGAUAUCCGGGUCCUCUGGGAAAUUAGGGUUUUCCUAGUUUCCUUAUUUAAACGGAAAUUGACAGUGCGAAUUUCGGUUCCCACAGUUUGGCGCUAGAAGGAGGGGGGGUACAGAUCAAUCUAACCCGCAAAAGCCACAUCACUCUCAAUCAGACAUGUCAACUAACGACGCAGAUAACGUGCAAACUCCUCUUAACGGAGGCAGCGGCACUGAUCUCCACACUCCAGUAGCGGACGUAUCCGCGGCCAACGCACAAGCCAACGCCACGACGCUCGAGGAGUUUAAAAAGAUGUUCGCCACUUAUGAGAAUAAGGUCGGAAGAACAGGAUAAGCUCGUGAAUACCUUGACCAAACAGGUUGAAACCUUAACGGCAAGGACCCAAGCAAUCCGUCCCCACGGAACCACCAAAAUCCGCGGGAAGAGGCUCGACUUCGCCACCCCAUUCGAUAGAACAGGAGUCGUGUGGGAACGACCUUCCGGUCAAAACCCUAGCGAGAAAUCUCCCAUCGAAAAGGGGAACUCUGAAAGUCUUCCGCCCCCUGCAAAGGACUCGGAGAAUAACGAAGCCGAACACAUUGACCUGGAUCCUAGCGAUGUCUCCAACGACACCGACGAGGAUGUCGACAGACAUCCAAGAAGGACCAGGAGCCGAUCUGCUCGGGAAGGCUCCCCGUUCGAAAAACCAAUGACUGAAGAAGAAGAAAUCACCUAUUGGAACGAACAGGAGGAGAUGGCUGAAAGGCAAACCGAGCUCACUCGCAGUAAACGCCGACAGGCUCGGAAAUCUGCUGACGAGACAUCGGAUAUCCGCGAUCUUCGCGACUACAUCACCAAGACUGUGGCAGAAGUGAGAGCCGUAAAGUCUCAAAUCCAUCAUGCUAGUAGUGCUGCCCCCGAGAUCGAUCGACUGCUGGAAGGAGCUCGAAAGACCCCCUUUACCACUCGCAGUUUGGAUAUGAGGGUGUCCGAUCCGGGAAAAAUCAAAGUACCGAAGUACGAUGGUACGGCCGACCCAAAAGCGCACCUUCAGGCUUUCCACAUCGCGAUGGGAAGAGCAAGACUGAAGGACGGCGAAAAGGAUGCCGGCUAUUGCCGCCUGUUCGUCGAAAAUCUUGAUGGAGCAGCGCUCGAAUGGUUAGCACGCCUUCGUCGCAACACCAUCGGGAGUUUCCGACAGCUCGCAUCGGAAUUUCUCAAACAGUACUCUGUAUUCAUAGAUAGAGAAACUUCCGAUGUUGACCUCUAGAGUCUCUCCCAGAGGGAAGACGAACCCCUCCGCGAGUUAAUCUGUCGGUUCAAGCUGAUAAUGUCCAGGGUCAGCGGGAUAAGCGACAAAGUGGCCAUCGACGCGCUGGUACAAGUCAAAAUUCAGAAAGGGGCUAACUCUCGACAAACCGUGAACGAUCCAGGACGCCCUCCACAAAGCGAAGGACUACAUCAUAGUUGAGGAAGAAACUAAAGUCUUAUCGCAAAAACAUAAGGCGGCAAGACCAUCCUCGAAAGACGUGGAUCCAAAAGGGAAAAUGAAGAACUCUCGUAACGACAAGUACAUCCAUCACGAGGGGGAAGAUCUACAAGGGGCGCAUAACUAUGCGAUCAAUUCGGAUCAAGGCCGGACCACGGGCAACACAUGGACUCGCAAUCAAGGGUAUGACGAAAACACCUUCUGCAAGUUCCACCAAUCCCGAGGACACUCCACGACCAACUGCAAAGUCUUGGGAGCAAGACUGGCCGCGAAGCUACUCGCCGGAGAGCUCUCGGAAGUAACUAGCGUCAAGGAUCUCAUCCUUGAUUCUGAUCGCCCUCCAAAGACGGACAGAAAUCCGCCCGCUGAAAAAUCCCCUCAACGAAACCAACCUGGGGAUAAACGCGGUAGGAGACCGGACGACAAGGGGAACGAUAACAAUCGUCGCAUAGUCAAUAUGAUCAUCGGAGGAUCACAAUACUACGGCGAUACCGUGUCGGCCAUCAAGGCUUACCAACGGAAGGCAGAGUCAAGUGCAAAUUGGCCUACAUGGUCUCCUCCUCGAGAUGGCCAAAGUUGCUCGAUCACCUUCACAGAGGAAGAAGCCGGCGGUAUCGACCAACCUCACUGCGACCCGCUCGUCAUAGAUCUCGUCAUACGAGAUUCAGAAGUCGGAAGGGUACUCGUCGACACGGGAAGCACGGUCAACGUAAUCUUCCGCGACACUCUCAAGCGGAUGAGCAUCGAACUCGGAGAAGUAAUUCCAACGCCAAAACCGCUCACGGGUUUUUCAGGUGAAGUAUCGAUGACUCUCGGAUCGAUCCAAUUGCCAGUCAUGGCCAAGGAGAUCACGAAAAUCGUCGAGUUCGCGGUAGUCGAUCAUCCCGCUAUCUACAACGUGAUCAUGGGAACCCCAUGGCUCAACGCCAUGCAGGCAGUUCCGUCAAUCUACCACCUGGGUUUCAAAUUCCCAACCCCGAGCGGACUCGCGGCCAUCUGGGGAUGCCAAAAACAGUCGCGGCUAUGCUUCCUCGCAGAGCACAAGUUAAGGCAAAUCACGACUUCUGCAGCUGUAAACGGCAAGCGCACGAAGAUAGACCGAUCUUCAGCCAAAAACGCCCCGGGAAAAGACGAAUUAAAAUCGUCUACCGACGCAAACGCAUCGGACGUCGAAGCUCGACACAAGUCCAAAGCACACGCGACAACUCAACCAGAACAUCCAAAAAAUAGCGUUGACCCAGCCAUGAUCGACACGGUCAAGGCGGACAUCGCGACAUCUACCGCCGAGUAAGAACACUCGCGGCCUGAAACAGAACUACGAGAUGGCUUGAUCCUCGAAAGGGGUACGUAGGCAGCUCGUCAAAAAGACGAGUUCAGCUAUCCCCCUCUCUAAAAAGGGGGGGGGGAGUGGGUGCGUAUACUCGUAUACUCCCACUUAGAAAAAUCUUCAUUAUUGUAAUCGAGUUUUUAGAAACUUCAAAAAACUUUUACUACAAUAUACGUUGUCCUUUUUUUAUCAAAAACGCUUACGCUUCAGUAAAACACAAAAGAAACUUUCAGGACACGCCUGAAAACAUUAAAGACUCUUGUAUGCGGUCUCAUCAGGCCCAAAAAUCGUAAAAAUUAUCAUCUUUCAAACACACAAAAUUACACGUAUAAUCCUCGAAAUAACUGCGAGACGUCGCAAAAGUUAAAAUUCGAGGACAAUACUAACAAAUUGUCCGAACGCGACCACCAAAACCUUACACCCCGUUCGUCGAUUGGCCCCGACGAACACGCUAGCCGUCUUAAACAAACGCAAUUCGAUCACUCUUUUGAUCUUCAAAACGUCCAGCACAAGGACAAAAGCGCGCUACAACAAAAUUCCGAAAUUUUGGUUUAGCACUUCCAGUUGACUCUGAGAAGAUGCUCGAUUCGUACCAUACAAGUCACAUAAGCCGAGAACCUAUCGCGGACUUUAAAUCAGUACGAGUCAGGAAGAAAUCACAAUAGGAAAAACGAUAGCCGGCUAGUCACCGCACAAACCUUAACUGAAAGUAAACCUAGGUCUUGCCCAAAACCCAACGCUCUGGUCUCAAACAUCUCAAGGCAUGAUAUCUAAAAGAUACGAGAUCUUAAACCAUGUCUCUCCGUUCGCACCUCAAUGUUCUCGAAAAUCGUAAAGAUAGGUAACUUUUACGAGAAUCAUGAACGAACUAACAGGUCGAACGUCUAAUCAGAACUAAAUACGAGACGACAACUCGUAUUUACUUCGACCCUAUUCAGGAAAACUCGAAACAAAACAUUCGUCAUAUAAAUAACCGCGUAAGGCGACAAGGGAUUCAAAGCCACCAACGGCCAGUCCCGGUAAAUACAAAUACGGCCAUCUAGGCCUAAGCAAAAUCCAAAUUCAAAAGGCCACACUCGGCCGAAAACAUAUAAAACGAUAACUACUCCACCGCUCAUAAUCCAAAGUCAAAGUCCCCGGACAACGAAGCACCGAACGCAUCCACGGGACGAUCCACUUCCUCGCCACCAUCGGGAAACCCGGUCGAAACCUCCUCGGUCUCAGGGGAAAUCGGGAUGGAAUCCCAGAACCCUUGAAUCCGCUCGUCGAUCGGAGGGAUAAGCGCCUCAGCGUGGGCAUGUUCAUUCAUCCCACUCUUCAUCAAGCUCAUUUAUUCCUAGAACACGUAGUCAUCGGCUCGCGUCCUCCAAAGACUUCCGACCGAACCGCGGCACUCACGGAAAUCACCCACCGAAGUAAAGGCGUUCUUGAGGUUCCCAUACUCAACCUGGAAUUGAGAGGCACGAGUCUUCAUCACCUCAACGAUUUCUCUUUUGCCUUUCCUUUCCGCCUUACGGACAGCCCGCGCAUGAUCACGAGUAAGUUGCGCUUCUCGCUCCAAGAUCUCGCCUUGCACGCGAGCGAGAUCUCGUUCCGCUUUCUCGCUUUGAAACGAUAGAUCAUAGCCUCCCUAUGACUCGCUUCAAUGGCCGAGCCAAGCAAGUUAAGGCCAUACGAAAUCAAUUAACGCAUUGUAAGCAGAAAAGGAAAAACCUAGGCAAUCACGAAUAUUUUCGAAAAAAUCAUACCCCGUUGAUGAUUCGGGACCCUUCCGCGACGAUUUUUGGCCUCGCCGACUCUUUCGCAGGUGGAGGAGCAUCAAAACCCGGUGGUAGACCGGCAAAGAAAUCAUCGAAGUCCGGGAUAGGGGCCUCGCUCGAGCCACUCCCAUCGCCAUAAGCUAGGUUCGGAUCCCAUCCUGGAAGCAUAGAGUCGUCCAUCGAAAAUUCUAUAUUGCCAAGGUCGAUAUCUUUUCCCUUCCAAGAGCUCGACUCCGGCACGGCUGGUGGGGCUACAGCGGGACUCUGGUCAUCAGGUUCAGAGUCACUUCCCGUGUCCGCAACCGAGGCAGGACCAGGGUGCACGAACCUCAGUGCCCUCCGAACCCUCUUCGGCGUAAAGGAAGUCCAAAAGAAGGGACCAUUCAUGAGAAGAUCCCUCACCUCAAUAGUGUCCUCAGGUAAAGGAGCAAGAGGAUUGAUGAAAGGACGAUCGUUCGGUAAUCUCCGGAACAAUGGAAUGCAACUCUCUUCGACAGACGCAACGUCUAAACGGACAAAGAAGAAAAACUUCUUCCACGAGUUGAAGUUCGAAAUGAACUUCUUAACCACUGACAUAAAUUUCCGAGGGACCAACCUAUGCUUAUCCGUAUCCGUGACAAGUUGAAGCCUCAAAAGCGCUUCAUAAUGAUCGACAGAAAGGGAAAGGCCAUGCUCGUAGCUUAGGAUCAGGAUCCCAAUAAGAUGCUGAAUGGCAAGGGGAGUCAACUAACUUAUCGCAAUUUCGAAACGAUCCAACACUCGGACGAGAAUUUCGGGUAUUGGGAACCAUAGGCGACAACGCACUAUGAACGCCUCAUAGCAAGUAAAGUAACCCUCUGGGGGGCUGUUGGCACAUUCCCCCCGGCGGGGAACCCGGAACUCCACAGCAUCCGGGAUAUGGUAGAACGAUCGCAUGAUCGCGAGAAACUCGUCGGUACUCCUGCUUGCAUCCCCUUUCUCGACUCCACGAUGGAUCAGGACCGGGAACGACUUCUCCUUGGGAGGGGUCAACGAGCCAUAAUGAGCAACCCACCAUGCCUCGUUCUCGGCAGGAUGUACCGAGUGAGGCACGAACUCGAUCUUCGGAACGAUGAGCUCUUCAUAAGCACUCACGGAAGAAGACCCUUUUUCGCAAUCUUUUUCUUGCUCUACAUCUUUACACUUCUCUUCAGAAAAUAGAGGAAAAGGGUGGAGAGAAAGAUAGAAAGUUUUUCUUAAGAAAGAUCUUAGAGAAAGACAAGAAAGUGAAAAAAUUAUGAAACAAGUUACCUCCCUUCUUAUUGGCAUGAGGAUUUACUAUUCAAGCUCGGACUUUCGGAUAUUAAUUCCAUCCAUCACACCUAACUUGCCAAACAUGCCUAACCGCACGCUAGGAUCCUACGAUGCAUGAUCCUAACGGGCUGGGGGGCUAACUGUUGGGGUCAAAAACGGUUACGACGGAAUUACCACCCAAAAAUCCUCGGAGAUCGUAUUUCCGAAAGAGAUAGUAAAAGGAAAGAUGUAAUUUUCGUAAAAAAUAACCAAUACGAAGUUUUUACGAAGAAGUAUCCUUUGAGAUUCAAACCGAACAAACCAAGCUCGGUCACUACGCAUGCACGCCGUCCAGUCGCUAUGCAGCAACCAAACCUGAGCCAAGCUCGGUCGCUACGUAGCGACCGAGCCCUCGUCCCGCUCGGUCGCUACGUAGCGACCGAGCUCGAGCCAAAGCUUCGUCGCUACGUAGCGACCGAGCGAUCGUCCCGCUCGGUCGCUACGUAGCGACCGAGCUCGAGCCAAAGCUCGGUCGCUACGUAGCGACCGAGCGAUCGUCCCGCUCGGUCGCUACGUAGCGACCGAACUCGACCAAGCUCGGUCACUACGUAGCGACCGACCGAUCGUCCCGCUCGGUCGCUACGUAGCGACCGAGCUCGAGCCAAAGCUCGGUCGCUACGUAGCGACCGAGCGAUCGUCCCGCUCGGUCGCUAUGUAGCGACCGAGUUCAAGCCAAAGCUCGGUCGCUACGUAGCGACCGAGCGCUCGUCCCGCUCGGUCGCUACGAAGCGACCGGGCUCGAGCCAAAGUUCGGUCGCUGUGUAGCGAUUGAACCUUUCCGAACAUCGAUACGACACCAAUCCUUGCAUUCUCGUCAAACCUUCGAAUGCUAUCUCCCGAAGACCGUAGCAAGAUCAGUCCAUGUUUCCCGCUAUUCUAAUUCAUCGAUCAAACUUCGCUGAUUAGAAACCGCGGAAAAUUCGUAGUAAACGUGUCGAGUCGGAAGACGGCCCAAAGGGACCUAAAACACGACUCGAGGCCCAUCCUACGAUUUUCUAACCAAAAGCCCGUAAACCACAGCAUGGUUUACGCUUGUAAACCACAGCAUGGUUUACGCUUGGCCCACAAGGAAGGAUAAAUGUCAAGUUUCCGCGGAUAAAUACGGAAGUUUUGAAGAUAAUUGUGAAGAUCGGGAAAAAUGGAAUAUCUCCAUUUUUAUGCUAUGAUGGCUUAAGGGCAAAAGAGUAAAAGCAUAAACCGACUUUGGAGCUAGUAUAUAAGGAGUCCUAGGCGAGGAGCAGAAAAAGAAGUUUUUCAGAGCAAACUUAGCACUUAGAGCAAUUUAGGCAAUUUUCUGUUUUUGUUAUUUCGAGCUGCGACUCAAUUAGGUUUAGCCGUCUUAGGGUGACAAGAACUAGGAAUCUCGCCGACAGCUCUCGAGCCCAGGCUUAUACCUUGUUGUAAACGCUCAUACGCAAAUUCAGAAUAAGAUCUUCUUUGCUCUCUUUUUCGAUUUCUUAUACUUUAUCGUUGUUAUUCUCGUGUUCUGAUUGCUUGACGUGUGGUAAUUAGCAGAUAUCCGGGUCCUCUGAGAAAUUAGGGUCUACUUGUUUCCUUAUUUAAACGGAAAUCGACAGUGCGAAUUUCGGUUCCCACAUCCGCCUACGUUCUGAUUUUCUCCUUCCACAAUACUAGAGCAAUCAAUCUCAUUGUCCUCUUCUUCCUUCUCCGAACUGCAACCAUCGUAACUCCCACUGUAAUUAUCGUCUCUGGACUCAACUUCCGACGCUUCUACUUCUGAGCUAAAACUGAAGUUUGUUUUAGUCUUCUCUCUUGCUCCGUCGUCCUUGUUCUCCGUAAUCUCAACACAAAGACGUAGCUGUUCGAUUUUCUUUAGGGCUACAAAACCUUGCAACUGCCGAGUAUUGGACACGUACACUGGUGGAGUGUCGUGCGCCAUUGUUUUCAAUGAUUUAUUCGAGAACAUGUAGCUUAGCUGAAUAUGAUCACUCAUUUCAUUCAAUCCGUAAUCAUCGAGAACAGACUUUGCGAAAGCUUCAUUUGUAGAGUUCUCAUCUAAAUGGAGAACUCUACACCCUCUACUAUCAGCGUUGAAUACAUAUUUGUUUUUCUUAAUCCAGUUACCGGAAACAAUAAUAACCAGAUCCAUAACCAACUGAGAUAGAUGGAGAAGAGAAAUAACGGGUAUGAAAGGGGAGGAGAGAAAUAUGAACAGGCUGAUUAAAACCUAGUUUUGAAGUUCUUUCGUUACUGAUGACAUGGCAAAUCCGAAUUAAUGACAUGGCAGCUGACAUGGAAAUUUGGUUUUUCAGCCACCAAAAUAAUAUAUAACUCAGACACCCUAAGUCAGUCCACAUGUAGUAAGUAAGUCUGCCGAAACGUGGAUACUAGUUCAGUAAUUAAUCUUUUUCGAUAACCCAUCUGUAAAUAGGAUGAAAUACAAUAAGCAAACCAUAUCGUUUAACAAUUCAGCCGUAAAACAAUAUUAUUCUAGUAAUAAAUCUUUCGCUAAUAACUCAACCACAAUAUAGCUGAGUUUCAUGUUAAACCAUCCAGUUUCGGCUGAUUUAAGAUAACCCAGCCGUCAAACAUCCCAUAACCCAGCCAUUCGGUGUUCAUUAACUCAGCCGUGGGUAUAUAACUGAGUCGUGUCUUUACUACGACUCAACCAAAUUUUCCAGAAAUCAAUCCAUCGUUGAAUAAGUCAGCCGUAACGUCAGUACGUAAGUCAGCCGUUGUCCAAUAACUCAACUAGAUUCAUAUAACUCAACCCUUACGCGUGGUUUACUUAUUGUCUUAAAUCAGCCUUUUUUACUAAGUCAACUAUUUUAUUAUAAGUCAGCCAAAACUUAUACAUAUACCAGCCGUAACGAAAGACGUAUUCUUUUACGGUUGACUUAAUGAAAACACGGAAGCGUAUUCCUACGUGUCGCCGGAUUUUUGCUUACGUGGCGUUAAAAAUUAAUGGCCUUCUCGUAAAUACGUUUUUUCUCAUAACGUGGAUAAAGGGCACGCUUGACAUUUAAAAAAUGCCAAUAAUAAAAAAAAGAUUUGUAUGGUUCUGGUAAUAAGUCCUAAAAUAUAUAAUAUCUGAGUCAACUUCCCUUUAAAUAAACUCUUAAUAUAUUUUCGUAACAAAACGCUAUUACAACUGUGUUCUUAUUGAACUCUGUAUUAUUCUUCAGGAGCCGCUGGAAAAAAGUUAUACGUUCAGAAACGACAUUAAGGAAAGGAACACGGAGUGCAUUCAGAAACAACCUUUAGCAUUGGAAUAACAUGUAAGUCACUAAACUGAACUCAGCUAGCGCUUAGAAGUCAGGAAUGGAACUCGAGUGUUGCUUGCUGGUAUGUCUGGAAUGGAAUUCGAAUGUUGCUUGCUGGUAUGUCUGGAAUGGAAUUCGAAUGUUGCUUGUUAGAGAGUGAAACCACAUGUGAAUACACUUGUAUGUAUGUUGUGUACUUUUGCGUAUGUAUGUAGGUUUAAGAAGAGAAUAUAGUUUGCUUGUAAGUCUGUUGUGUGUUUUUGCUUGUAUGAAUAAAUUAGAGACAAAAAUAGCACUUCCAAC
rnacentral:lncRNA from 1 species